UCCCAGGUUGUGUAGUGGUAGCACAGCGGACUUUGGAUCCGCUAGCGUUGGUUCGAGCCCAGCCCUGGGAACCA
rnacentral:tRNA from 1 species